GGGUUCUUAUCGGAGGUUGGGGCGGAAACCAGUGAUACAUUGACACACACAUUGACUUGGACAUUAAAUGAGUCUUUUUCUAAUUCUCUCUCACUCAGACAGACACUUCCAUGCGAAGGAAAUGACUAAGACCAAAGUACAGUGAAACAUUCUCAAAUUCACAACAAAGUUUCGCCCUUUUUCUUCGAUUUUCCUUCUUCAUUUUCUCUCCUCAAUGAAACCCUAUUUCUCAAGCAUUGUACUUUGAUCAACUCUAAUUACCAGGGGAAAAAGUCUGUUAUUCGAGCAAAAUGGGAUCAGAAAAUACUGAAAAAGGUUCAGUGGUUACUCAGCUCAGUUUUGGUGGGUUUGAUAAUGACAUAACUGCCAAAAUGUUUGCGGAUUACAUCGAGAAUGAAAUGGGGGUACAAGUUUGGAGGUGCAGAUUGAAGAAAUCUUGGACUCCUCCAGAGUCAUAUCCAGACUUCCAAAUUCAAAGUAUUGAAGAUUUGGUUAACACUGAUGAUUAUGAGAAGGUGGAGCCCCAUGCUUUUGUUCAUUUCGCUUCCCCUGAAUCAGUACGCUAUAUUUUGGAUGUUGCGGGGGGAAAUGGUCUUAUUUUGUACGGGAAAGUGCUCAAAGUUACAUUAGGUCCUAUGAAUCCCUUUCGUAUUAAUCAGAUGAGGAGAACGACUACUCCAUUUAAGCUGACAGAUGUUCGUGUUGAUAUUGGGACUCUUGUUAGUCGAGAUGAGAUGAUUGUUGGCUGGAAAGGACCUUCUGCUGGGGUAGAUUUCCUUGUCGAUCCUUUUGAUGCAACCUGCAGGCUCAACUUCACAAAAAAGACAGUUUUCGCAUUCAAAGACGAAAGAAAGAAUGCUGUUAUUAAUUGUGAUUUCAAAGUUGAAUUUUUGGCCAGGGAGAUUAAUGAGAUUAAACGAUAUACAGAUCGUUCAGGACUGAUUAUCUAUUUUCAGCUUUCUUCAACUCCCUUGCUCUUCUACCGUACUGCUGAUGAUGAUAUCUUUGAGUCUGUUCCAUUUAGCUUGUUGGAUGAUGAUGAUUCUUGGAUAAGGACUACAGAUUUUACGCCCAGUGGGGUUUUUGGUAGGUGUAAUUCAUACCGGAUUUCAGUUCCACCCCGUAAUGGUCGGAAGUUAGAGAGAGCUAUAAAUUAUCUUAUUGAGCGACGGGUCCCAGUUGAGCAUCCAAGACUGCCACUUAGGGUCAGGGAUGAACCUAGUUUUGGUGUGCAGAUAUCCGAUCCCUUUUUCUGUGUCCAGCAUGAAGAAGGUGUACCAUUUAAUGUAACCUUUAUGCUGAAUGCUACUGUGCAUAAAGGAAUCAUAAAUCAGCACCAGUUAACAGGGAAAUUAUUCGAUUUGCUUAGAACUCAAUCAGCAGAGGUCAACUUGGCUGCUUUAAGGCAUAUCUGUUCUUACAAGCGUCCUGUAUUUGAUGCUUGUAGAAGACUGAAACUAGUAUAUGAUUGGUUGCUUAAAAAUCCCGGGCUGUUGAGGGACUCUACAAAAUUGACUGACAUUGUAGAAGUUAGGAGGCUGAUCAUAACCCCGACUAAGGCCUAUUGUCUUCCACCUGAUGUAGAACUUUCCAAUCGAGUUCUUAGGCAUUACAAAGAUGUAUCUGAUCGCUUUUUAAGAGUAACCUUCAUGGAUGAAGGAAUGAGAAUGUUGAAUGCCAAUGUCCUUUCCUAUUAUGCUCCACCUAUUGUGAAGAUGAUUACAUCGAAUACAUAUCCUCAAAGGACAUCAAUUUUCAAGAGGGUGAACAUAUUGUUAAAAAACGGAUUUUACCUGUGUGGGAGGAUGUAUACCUUCUUAGCAUUUUCUUCAAACCAGUUGAGGGAUCGAUCUGCUUGGUUCUUUGCUGAAGACAAGAGGGACAAGAGGCUGACAGUGAAUAGCAUAAGGAACUGGAUGGGAAAGUUCACCAACAGGAAUGUUGCCAAAUGUGCUGCAAGAAUGGGACAAUGUUUCUCUUCCACCUAUGCGACUGUUGAAAUUUCAUCAGAUCAAGUUGACUCAGAGCUUCCAGAUAUCGAAAGGAAUGGCUAUGUUUUCUCUGAUGGAAUUGGGAUCAUAUCACCAGAUCUUGCUAUGGAGGUUGCAGAAAAACUGCAACUUAAAGACAACCCACCCUGUGCAUAUCAGAUCCGGUUUGGAGGUUGCAAAGGUGUGGUGGCAUGCUGGCCGCCAAAGGAUGACAAGAUCAAAAUUUAUCUUCGUCCAAGUAUGAAUAAGUUUCAAUCGAGGCACACAGUUGUUGAAGUCUGUUCAUGGACAAGAUUCCAACCAGGGUUUCUGAAUCGACAAAUAGUGACCUUGCUUUCAGCACUUGAGGUUCCUGAUGAAGUGUUUUGGAGAAUGCAGGAAACAAUGAUUGCGAAACUCAAUCAGAUGCUAGUGAAUACUGAUGUGGCUUUUGAUGUUCUAACAGCUUCAUGUGCCGAGCAAGGUAAUACAGCAGCCAUAAUGUUAAGUGCUGGUUUUAAGCCACAAACGGAGCCUCAUCUACGGGGCAUGUUGUCUUGCAUUAGGGCAGCACAGCUUGGGGACCUCAGAGAAAAGGCCAGAAUAUUUGUUCAGUUGGGUAGAUGGCUGAUGGGCUGUCUAGAUGAAGUUGGUGUACUUGAACAAGGUCAAUGCUUUGUACAGGUGUCAAACCCUUCGCUGGAAAACUGCUUCUCUAAACAUGGUUCAAGGUUUUCAGAAGUGAAAAGGAAUUUACAGAUUGUUAAGGGCUUGGUCAUUGUUGCCAAGAAUCCUUGUCUUCAUCCAGGAGAUAUAAGGAUUCUUGAGGCUGUAGAUUGCCCAGAUUUGCAUCAUCUUUUUGACUGUCUUGUCUUUCCUCAAAAGGGGGAGAGACCACAUACAAAUGAAGCGUCAGGCAGCGAUUUGGAUGGGGAUCUAUACUUUGUUUCUUGGGAUGAGAAUCUUAUCCCACCUAGUAAGCGAAGCUGGAUACCUAUGGAGUAUACACCUGCUGUGGUUAGGGAACUGCCUCGUCCAGUGAACCAUCUGGACAUAAUAGAAUUCUUCACAAGGAACAUGGUUAAUGAGAACUUAGGAACAAUUUGCAAUGCCCAUGUAGUUCAUGCUGACCUUACUCCAUAUGGAGCAUUAGAUGAAAAGUGUCUCACAUUAGCAGAACUCGCUGCAUUGGCUGUGGAUUUUCCGAAGACAGGCAAGGUGGUAACCAUGCCUAACGAACUGAAACCUAAAAUGUACCCCGAUUUCAUGGGAAAACCAGAGACACAAUCAUACAAGUCUGACAAGAUCCUCGGAAGAUUGUACAGAAUAAUUUUAGAUGCUUAUGACGAAGACAGUUAUCUAUCUCCUGAAUUAAACGUCAGUCCUAAGGAUAUUACUUAUGACACAGAUCUGGAGGUUCCAGGUUCAGACGAUUUCACAAACGAGGCAUGGGGUCUCAAGUGCUCGUAUGUAGGACAGCUUUGUGGCCUGCUAGAACAGUAUAAAGUCAGCAAUGAAGAGGAGAUUGUAACUGGACAUGUAUGGUCCAUGCCCAGAUCCAGCAGUAAGAAGCAAGGAGAGCUCAAGGAAAAGCUCAAGCAUGCUUACAGUUGUCUAAAGAGAGAGUUUAGGCAACAUUUUGAUAAACUUGGGGCUGAUUUUGAGCACCUAGAUGAUGAGGAGAAGAACUCAAUUUAUGAGAAGAAGGCUUCAGCGUGGUAUCAGGUGACUUAUCAUUCUGAAUGGGUGAAAAAGUCAAUGGAGGUGCUAGGCCCUGAUGAUGAAGAACAGGUGAAUGUUAUUCUGAGUUUUGCCUGGGUCCCCGCUGAUUACCUUGCUCGUAUCAAGGUGAGGAAUGGAAGAGAAAAGGGAAUUAUGGUUGCGACGGAGAAGCCAAUCAAUUCUUUGGCGAAUUACCUUGCAAAGUGCAUGCAGAUGUCCUGAAUUCUCAUUUCUGUUGAUGUACAUUGGCUGCACGGCCACUCUGCCAUUAGUCCUAGAUUAUGAUUAUGGAUGCCCCGAUUAUGAAGAGAAACGAGUCAUUAGCAAGAUCAAUUGAAGAUUUAGGUGAUGAAUUAUUGAGUGAGAUAUUUACCAGGCUUCCCUGCCAUGAAAGUGUGAUCAAUUGCAAGUUAGUAUCCAAACGUUGGUUGUUUAUACUCCGUAACCCUAAAUUUGUGGUUGAAUUCCUGAAUCACGCAAAAAAGGGGCAUUUACCGUGGGCCUUUCUGUGUACUAUGAAGAUGAGGAGGACGAGUAAUGAAGAUGAAGAUGAAGAUGAAAUCCCAAAUCAUAAGGUAUUCAAUUCUCCCAACUUUACCCUAAAUUUCCUGCCAUUUCCGUUUAAAGUUGCUAACACAUUCAAGGAUUUAAUAUUGUGCUCGAAUACAAGUCCUGGGAUAAGUAAUUUGCAUUAUUAUUAUAUCAUCUGUAAUCCUGUAACCAAACAAUGGCUCGCUCUUCCUCCCACUCCUACUCUGAGCGCCCCAAUUGAUCAACGGGGGUCGUCUUCUUGGGCGUGUUUGACAUGUCAAGACCCCUAUUAUAAUGUCAAUAUAGAUCGACUUGAUUACAGGUUUCGAGUUGUGGCAAUCCAUCUUACCCCCGUAGGGCGCCACUUGGUUAACCAUCCCUCUAAAGUUUUCAAUAUUAUGGUCUUUUGCUCCGAGAGUUUUGAAUGGAAAACGAUUAAUGUGUCGGUGGCGAUAAGGCCGUCAUCAAUAAAAUGGUGUCCGGGUACCUUUUGUUGGGGUGCUUUGUAAUGGGAUGGUUUGUGUUCGCCAUCAUCCUUAUUUCGGAAUGUUUAACCCAUUCGAUGUUACCCCUCGUACUCUGAAUGAGUCUACUCUUACAUCCAGGAUGCUACGAACAUAUUAUGAUGCUCAAGGAAGAGUCUAUGAAUGUGGAGGAACCAAAUUGGUUGUAAUCGCCGACACUUGUUUUUCCUCUAAACCUGGACCGCCUCCAUUGACAUUCACAAUCAGGAGUGCCGAGUUAGAUCUUAAGGAUAUCAAUUCAGUGCCGAUAUUUUGGCAUCACAAUUUCAGAGGUCUGUGCACUAGUGCAUCAAUGCCACUGCCCACUUUUUUGCGUCACAUUAUUGGUAUACACCCGACUAACAAGUACUUGCUUUAUGUAUUUACUACUCGUGAUGAGCUGGUUUUGUGUGAUAUGCGCUCUAAAUCCUUGAAGGUUUUGGGUACAUUACAUCCAGAUCGUAUCAAGUCCACUGCCAGGUUUCAGCUCCAAUCCUGGCCUACGCCACUUCCACUUCCGCCCAUUCAAUGAUCAAUGUUUCAAGCGUACUGAUGCACAACACUUCUAGUUUGAUUAAUGUUUGAUAUAUCUAUAUAUGUCUAUUUACACAAAUAAGCAUUAGAGGCUUGGUUUCAUAUAUCUUUUACUCAUACACUACGGAUAUUGCCCGUGCACUAUAAGAUAGGUUUUUUUUUUUUUUCUUUCUAAAUCACAUAAAGCAUAAUGAUGGCAUUGCUAUUCUUGAUUGUGAUGUUACAAUUUCAGUUUGUUUCUCCUUGAGUUUAGUUCAAUUAAUCUUGCAUAUGUUUGGGCGCAAAUGUUGUUAUAUGCUUCUCCUCUAUCCUAGCUUUGUUUUGGCUACAGGAUGAUUGACC